GGACUACAAGCAACACUCUUGCCAGUUCCUGGAACGGUGCUUGGUGGAGUAUCAGCUGAUGUAGCAAGAUUUUUUUGGAUCAGCUUUCUAGCAUUCUGUGACAUGACAUCAGGCUGAGUCUUCUGGCCAGUGUUACUCCGGACUGCUACAGAGAAAGAGUUGGUGGCUCAAUUUACAUGAAUUGUCUUCCUAAAAAUGUAGCCUAAAAACAGC
rnacentral:lncRNA from 1 species